GAAAUGCGAUAAGUAGUGUGAAUUGCAGAAUUUAGCGAAUCAUCGAAUCUUUGAACGCACAUUGCGCCCCUUGGUAUUCCAUGGGGCAUGCCUGUUCGAGCGUCAUUUCAACCCUCAAGCACUGCUUGGUGUUGGGCGUUUGUCCCGCCUACGCGCGUAGACUCGCCUCAAAGUCAUUGGCAGCUGUUCCCCUUCGGCUCGUAAGCGCAGCACAGUCGGCGCCCGGAGCUCUGGUGGGAUGGCGUCCAGCAAGCUAUAUUUUCAGGCUUGACCUCGGAUCAGGUAGGGAUACCCGCUGAACUUAAGC
rnacentral:misc_RNA from 1 species